GAUGAUGUUGAUAUUGCGCAAGGGCUUUGCAGUCACUAAAUUCAGAAAAAUAGGUCAAUCUGUUGAAAGGAUUGAAUAAAUCAAACAAUUCCAAUCAAAUGCUGCCAUCAGAACGGAUUGAUAAUAGGAAUUAUUUCAUAUUUUCCAUUAAAUGGAACUCAAAGCCCUUGCGCAAUAUCAACAUCAUCAUCUAGCAGCAUAGACAACAAUGAUGACUCAAAACCCAACAAUAUUCAAAAGAAAAAGAGUGGAAGAGAGCAGCAGAAAUCAAUUCAGUCACUUGUUUUAGCAUCCAUAUACAAUACCACUGGUGGAAAUGACAAAUCGGAUCAAUACACUUUCAACGGGUGUGUAAUCAGCGAGAAAUCAC
rnacentral:misc_RNA from 1 species